CUAUACAUGCAAGUCGUACGCUUCUUUUUCCACCGGAGCUUGCUCCACCGGGAAAAGAAGAGUGGCGAACGGGUGAGUAACACGUGGGUAACCUGCCCAUCAGAAGGGGAUAACACUUGGAAACAGGUGCUAAUACCGUAUAACAAUCGAAACCGCAUGGUUUUGAUUUGAAAGGCGCUUUCGGGUGUCGCUGAUGGAUGGACCCGCGGUGCAUUAGCUAGUUGGUGAGGUAACGGCUCACCAAGGCCACGAUGCAUAGCCGACCUGAGAGGGUGAUCGGCCACAUUGGGACUGAGACACGGCCCAAACUCCUACGGGAGGCAGCAGUAGGGAAUCUUCGGCAAUGGACGAAAGUCUGACCGAGCAACGCCGCGUGAGUGAAGAAGGUUUUCGGAUCGUAAAACUCUGUUGUUAGAGAAGAACAAGGAUGAGAGUAACUGUUCAUCCCUUGACGGUAUCUAACCAGAAAGCCACGGCUAACUACGUGCCAGCAGCCGCGGUAAUACGUAGGUGGCAAGCGUUGUCCGGAUUUAUUGGGCGUAAAGCGAGCGCAGGCGGUUUCUUAAGUCUGAUGUGAAAGCCCCCGGCUCAACCGGGGAGGGUCAUUGGAAACUGGGAGACUUGAGUGCAGAAGAGGAGAGUGGAAUUCCAUGUGUAGCGGUGAAAUGCGUAGAUAUAUGGAGGAACACCAGUGGCGAAGGCGGCUCUCUGGUCUGUAACUGACGCUGAGGCUCGAAAGCGUGGGGAGCAAACAGGAUUAGAUACCCUGGUAGUCCACGCCGUAAACGAUGAGUGCUAAGUGUUGGAGGGUUUCCGCCCUUCAGUGCUGCAGCUAACGCAUUAAGCACUCCGCCUGGGGAGUACGACCGCAAGGUUGAAACUCAAAGGAAUUGACGGGGGCCCGCACAAGCGGUGGAGCAUGUGGUUUAAUUCGAAGCAACGCGAAGAACCUUACCAGGUCUUGACAUCCUUUGACCACUCUAGAGAUAGAGCUUCCCCUUCGGGGGCAAAGUGACAGGUGGUGCAUGGUUGUCGUCAGCUCGUGUCGUGAGAUGUUGGGUUAAGUCCCGCAACGAGCGCAACCCUUAUUGUUAGUUGCCAUCAUUUAGUUGGGCACUCUAGCAAGACUGCCGGUGACAAACCGGAGGAAGGUGGGGAUGACGUCAAAUCAUCAUGCCCCUUAUGACCUGGGCUACACACGUGCUACAAUGGGAAGUACAACGAGUCGCGAAGUCGCGAGGCUAAGCUAAUCUCUUAAAGCUUCUCUCAGUUCGGAUUGUAGGCUGCAACUCGCCUACAUGAAGCCGGAAUCGCUAGUAAUCGCGGAUCAGCACGCCGCGGUGAAUACGUUCCCGGGCCUUGUACACACCGCCCGUCACACCACGAGAGUUUGUAACACCCGAAGUCGGUGAGGUAACCUUUGGAGCCAGCCG
rnacentral:rRNA from 1 species